rnacentral:sRNA from 1 species
UAAUAUAAAGGAAAGGAACUAUGCGCUAACAUAGUCCCCAAUGUAGACCCGUUAAAAAGACGGUGGCAUUAGUUUUUUAUAGUUUUUA